UACGUAGGGGGCAAGCGUUGUCCGGAUUUAUUGGGCGUAAAGAGCGUGUAGGCGGUUUGGUAGGUCCGUUGUGAAAACUCGAGGCUCAACCUCGAGACGCCGAUGGAAACCAUCUAACUAGAGUCCGGAAGAGGAGAGUGGAAUUCCUGGUGUAGCGGUGAAAUGCGCAGAUAUCAGGAAGAACACCGGUGGCGAAGGCGGCGACCUGGUCCGAUACUGACGCUGAGGCGCGAAAGCGUGGGGAGCAAACAGG
rnacentral:rRNA from 1 species